GACGUACCACCCAAACGUUAUUCGGAUUCACUGGGCUUACAGAGUCCGUAGGCGGUCAAGAAAGUUAGGCGUGAAAUCCCUCAGCUCAACUGAGGAAUAGCGCUUAAAACUACUUGGCUAGAGAGGGUCAGAGGUGAGCGGAACUGAUGGUGGAGCGGUGAAAUGCGUUGAUAUCAUCAGGAACACCGGUGGCGAAAGCGGCUCACUGGGGCUUUUCUGACGCUGAGGGACGAAAGCUAGGGGAGCGAACGGGAUUAGAUACCCCGGUAGUCCUAGCCUUAAACGAUGAGCACUAGAUCGAGGGGACCCUCACAUCUCCUUGGUCGUAGGGAAACUGUUAAGUGCUCCGCCUGGGGAGUAUGGUCGCAAGGCUGAA
rnacentral:rRNA from 1 species